CAAAGUGUAGCUUAAACUAAAGCACCUGGCUUACGCCUAGAAGAUUUCAAUUUAACUGAACGCUUUGA
rnacentral:tRNA from 1 species